rnacentral:lncRNA from 1 species
UUUUCUUUAAGCCACUCGCUUCUCUCCAAAGGCUUAAUACCACAAAGUCUCGCCUAAGCUUGGCUCCCAGCUGCAUUGCUGAAGGAACUUGAUGCAUACACUUCAUAGUGUAUGAUCUAAAGAGCAGGGAGAAUACAUUUGCUAUAGCCAAGUUACCCCACAUGAGAGCUGUUUGGGUUUAAUAUAUACCCUUUAGGAUUCUCUGCAUUGCAGGGGAAGGGAGGGAGGUACAUAAACAGGCUUGAGAGAAAAAAAAAACAUUGCUCACAUUUUUUAAAAGUUGCCUCAGGCAGUUAUAAGUUACAUAAAGUUGCUCCUGUUCCUGCUGUAGUUAUGUCAAAGUUAUCUAAGGUGACUAGGUGACUAGCAUAACGUGACAACUGCAAACUUAGAAAACAAAGGUUCCUAAAUGGGGCCUUUUCACAUACACAAGUUCAGAAUAUAACCGACAGCCCACAAACCAAGACAUGACUUCCAAAUCUUAUUUUGAUCAUGAAGGUUAUUCUAAGACUUUUUUUAAUAAAACAUCUGUACUUAAAACCUGACUAAUUACUUAUAGAUUAGCAGCGUCUGAAAGAAACUAUUCUUGUUUCCAGUAGUUGCAUUCAUGGACUUCAUUUAGCCUGGCACUUGUGUAAUAAUGUGAAUAUUUAGCUUUUUUGAGUAUUUAGUCCCUACACUCACGACUUCUAGAAAUUCUUCAAAAUCUAUCACAUUAGAAAGAGAAGAUAAAAUGAGAGAUAUUCUAGGGAAAAUUACUCCCUUUUCUGAACAUUCUUCUUCCCCACACGCAUUCUCCAUUUCCCACACACAUUUUUAAGGCACUACAAUGCAAGUUUUCAGGAGCUAAAUCUAUGAGAGAAAUCUAAUUCUAUUUUAAAAUAAUCAAGACAAAAUUAAAAAUUAUCCCAACUAAUUACAAUGGUAAAAAGUAAUACAUCUUUCGUGUAUUUUAUGAGAGAGAAAGGAAUGAUUAAAAAUGUACCAAAAGCCAUGAAUGCC